AUGGGCCUGGGGGGCAUUUUUGUGCAGGCACAGCCUGCGGGCAGAGGCUGUGCUACUGGUACCUUGAUAUCUGGGGCUCCGGCACCCUGGUCACUGUCUCCUCAGCAGUGUGACUAUUUUCAAUACUGGGGCCAGGGGACCCUGGUCACCGUCUCCUCAGAAAGCUUAUCUUCCCCGACCCUCUUUCCCCUCAUCUCCUGCGAGAGCCCCCUGUCGGAUAACAGCCAGGUGUCUGUGGGCUGCCUCGCACGAGACUUCCUGCCCAGCAGCGUCUCCUUCUCCUGGACCUAUGAGAAUGCCUCUGAGGUGAGCCAGGUCAUCAGAACUUUCCCAGUGGUGCAGACAGGAGACAAGUACACAACCACCUCCCAGGUGCUCCUGCCCUCCAAGGACGUCCCCCAGCUUACAGACAAGCGCCUGGUGUGCAAGGUCCAGCAUGGCAGCAACAACUUAAAGAAGGAAGUGCCCUUUCCAGCCCCAGUGACCAUGGAGCAGGCUCCCAACGUGACCGUGUUUGUCCCACCCCGAGACACCUUCCUCGACUCUGGUGAAUCCAAACUCAUCUGCCAGGCAACAGGCUUCAGUCCCAGGCAGAUCACAGUGUCCUGGCUGCGGGAUGGAAAGACUGUGAGGUCUGGCUUCAUCACAGACCAGGUGGUGGCUGAGAACAAAGUCUCCCAGAAACUGACCUUCAAGGUUACCAGCACGCUGACCAUCACGGAGGCUGACUGGCUGGGCCAGAAGGUGUUCACCUGCCUCGUGGAUCACAGAGCGGGCACCUUCAAGAAGAAUGUAUCCUCCUCCGUGUGUGUCCCCACAACUCCGCCCACAGACAUCAAAGUCUUCCCCAUCCCACCCUCUUUUGCUGGCACCUUCCUCACCAAGUCUGCCAAGCUGACCUGCCUGGUCACCAGCCUGACCCACCGUGGAGGACUGAAUAUCUCCUGGGCCAAUCAGGAUGGCAAGGACCUGCCAACCAAAGUCACAGAUCCUGAGAGCCAAGCCAACGGCACCCUCAGUGUCAUGGGUGAGGCCAGUGCCUGUGUGGAAGACUGGGACUCUGGGAAGACAUUCACGUGCACCGUGAUCCACCAGGACCUGCCCUUCCCAUUGAAGAAGACCAUCUCCAAGCCCACAGCACAAGCCAAGCACCCCCCUGCUGUGUACGUGCUGCCACCCGCCCGGGAACAGCUGGUCCUGCAUGAACAGGCCACCAUCUUCUGCCUGGUGAAGGGCUUUGCACCUGCAGAUGUCUUUGUGCAGUGGCUGCGGAGUGGGCAGCCCUUGUCCUCGGACAAGUAUGUGACCAGCUCCCCGAUACCCGAGUCCCAGGCCCCAGGUCUCUACUAUGCGCACAGCCUGCUGACAGUGACCGAGGAGGACUGGAGCUCGGGAGAGACCUUCACCUGUGUCGUGGGCCACGAGGCCCUGCCCCACAUGGUGACCGAGAGGACCGUGGACAAGUCCACUGAGGGGGAGGUGAAUGCUGAAGAGGAGGGCUUUGAGAACCUGUGGACCACCGCCUCCACUUUCAUUGUGCUCUUCCUGCUGAGCCUCUUCUACAGCACCACAGUCACCCUGUUCAAGGUGAAGUGACUGAGCUGUGGGAGGACACCGGAGACCAAGAGCCCAACUGCAGGGCCUGGGCUG